rnacentral:rRNA from 1 species
CCAGACUCCUACGGGAGGCAGCAGUGGGGAAUAUUGGACAAUGGACCAAGAGUCUGAUCCAGCAAUUCUGUGUGCACGAUGAAGUUUUUCGGAAUGUAAAGUGCUUUCAGUUGGGAAGAAAGAAAUGACGGUACCAACAGAAGAAGUGACGGCUAAAUACGUGCCAGCAGCCGCGGUAAUACGUAUGUCACGAGCGUUAUCCGGAUUUAUUGGGCGUAAAGCGCGUCUAGGUGGUUAUAUAAGUCUGAUGUGAAAAUGCAGGGCUCAACUCUGUAUUGCGUUGGAAACUGUAUAACUAGAGUACUGGAGAGGUAAGCGGAACUACAAGUGUAGAGGUGAAAUUCGUAGAUAUUUGUAGGAAUGCCGAUGGGGAAGCCAGCUUACUGGACAGAUACUGACGCUGAAGCGCGAAAGCGUGGGUAGCAAACAGGAUUAGAUACCCUGGUAGUCCACGCCGUAAACGAUGAUUACUAGGUGUUGGGGGUCGAACCUCAGCGCCCAAGCAAACGCGAUAAGUAAUCCGCCUGGGGAGUACGUACGCAAGUAUGAUACUCAAAGGAAUUGACGGGGGCCCGCACAAGA